UACGUAGGGUGCAAGCGUUAAUCGGAAUUACUGGGCGUAAAGCGCGUGUAGGCGGCUUGGCAAGUCGGGUGUGAAAGCCCUGGGCUUAACCUAGGAAGUGCACUCGAAACUGCCGAGCUUGAGUUCUGGAGAGGAAGGCGGAAUUCUCGGUGUAGAGGUGAAAUUCGUAGAUAUCGAGAGGAACACCGGUGGCGAAGGCGGCCUUCUGGACAGCAACUGACGCUGAGACGCGAAAGCGUGGGGAGCAAACAGG
rnacentral:rRNA from 1 species